rnacentral:misc_RNA from 1 species
CAAUUGGUUUCUCUCUUUCAGGUUCCAAAAUCCUGAGAAUCAACUGGUCGUUUCAUACAUCUUCUUUGCUCUUUUCCAACUUCUACCCCAUUUUUCAUCAUCAUCAACUACUAAUCUUCAGGGAUCAAUGGAACAAAUUCUUAUAUCCCACCAUUCAAGUAGGCGAAAUUACAGGCCAAAAGGGUUGGACAAGAAAAGGGUUCUUCAGAUUAUUUUGCUUUUAGCAAUUUGCAUUUGGUUGGGACACCAAGUCAAGAACUCGCAUCACCAACAUGAGGGUUACAAUGAGAAUCCUCAAAGUCCAAGUGAAAGAAAUAUAACCAUAGUUUUGGGCCGCAGGGGGAUCGAAAAGUAUAAGAAUGGAGCUAAUGCAGAAUUUCAAGAUACAAAUGAUUCACAGGAAUAUGAAAGAAGAGGCGGAGGUGUAGGAGACGAUGAGAUUGAUGGAAUUAUUAGUGC